rnacentral:misc_RNA from 1 species
CCUCGGAGACCUUGCACCCCUCUGGGGGGGGGGCAGCGCGACUAUAAAUAAGGCUGGCCACUUGCAAGUUGACCGUGAGGUCAGCGACAUAAUCGAAUUGACGGGGACUUCCUAAAGCCUGCAGCACCACCUAGACGGGGAAACCCGUUUAGUACGGUAAGAGCCUGUAGGAUACACAAUGGAUAAUCCGCAGCCGAGCCCCUACUGCGAAAGCCACGGGGAAGGUUCACAGACUAGGUGAUUAUGGGUCCAGCCGCCUGUUGGAUCUAAGAUAUAGUCGGUCUCUGGGGGAAAUCCCAGGGGUUUCAGCGUCCGUAGGUGAACCUGCGGAAGGAUCAUUAAUGUAACCGGACCGGUCCUUUGCCGUAAAACGCACCGGAUUGGAAAGGGAGAUAUCAUACACCCUGUGUUUAUUUACCUUUGUUGCUUUGGCGGGCCGUCCUUUAGGCGUCGGCCCCGGCUGAUCGCGCCCGCCAGAGGACCCAAACCCUUUUAUCAGUGAUGUCUGAGUACUAUAUAAUAUUUAAAACUUUCAACAACGGAUCUCUUGGUUCUGGCAUCGAUGAAGAACGCAGCGAAAUGCGAUAAGUAAUGUGAAUUGCAGAAUUCAGUGAAUCAUCGAAUCUUUGAACGCACAUUGCACCCUCUGGUAUUCCAGGGGGUAUGCCUGUUCGAGCGUCAUUGCAACCCUCAAGCGCUGCUUGGUAUUGGAUGCACCACUUGGUGCGUCUCAAAAAUAUUAGCAGUG